rnacentral:rRNA from 1 species
UAUGUGAUCGUCUCUCGCAUAUCAAUAAGCGGAGGAAAAGAAACUAACAAGGAUUCCCCUAGUAACGGCGAGUGAAGCGGGAAGAGCUCAAAUUUGAAAUCUUAAAGGGUUUCCCUUUACGAAUUGUAGUUUAAAGAAGUGUUUUCUGUUGAGGUUUUGGUAAAAGUUCUUUGGAAUAGGACAUCAUAGAGGGUGAGAAUCCCGUAUUUGACCUUUACUUUCAACUUUGUGAUACACUUUCAAAGAGUCGGAUUGUUUGGGAAUGCAGUCCAAAAUGGGUGGUAAAUUUCAUCUAAAGCUAAAUAUUGGCGAGAGACCGAUAGCGAACAAGUACCGUGAGGGAAAGAUGAAAAGAACUUUGAAAAGAGAGUUAAACAGUACGUGAAAUUGUCAAAAGGGAAAGCGUUUGACACCAGUGUUGUUUUUCUGAAAAUCAAUUAAAGAACUGUUUAUGCUAAGCUUGUUUAGACUUUAUCAGCUAUCUGUUUAGUUUUGAGCUUUUCUUUAAUGCACUUUUCAGUUAACAAGUCAACAUCAAUUUCUUUUGCUGUAAAAAAGCUUGAGGAAGGUGGCUUGAGAUUCGUCUUAAGUGUUUAUAGCCUCUUGCCUAUGCAGUCGGAGAGAUUGAGGUCUGCAGCGUAGAUCCAUCGGGGCUAAAUGCAUUUGUGCUAAGUUAUAGCAUUUUAUAGACAACUUGUUGACUAUGAUUUGUCUUGUAGCUUACUCGCUUAUGUUAUUUUACCUACGCUUAGGAUGUUGAGCGCAUGUCUCUCUCU